GUAGGUGGCAAGCGUUGUCCGGAAUUAUUGGGGCGUAAAGCGCGCGCAGGCGGUUCUUUAAGUCUGAUGUGAAAGCCCACGGGCUCAACCGUGGAGGGUCAUUGGAAACUGGAGAACUUGAGUACAGAAGAGGAAAGCGGAAUUCCACGUGUAGCGGUGAAAUGCGUAGAGAUGUGGAGGAACACCAGUGGCGAAGGCGGCUUUCUGGUCUGUAACUGACGCUGAGGCGCGAAAGCGUGGGGAGCAAACAGGAUUAGAUACCCUGGUAGUCCACGCCGUAAACGAUGAGUGCUAAGUGUUAGGGGGCUUCCGCCCCUUAGUGCUGCAGCUAACGCAUUAAGCGCUCCGCCUGGGGAGUACGGCCGCAAAGGCUG
rnacentral:rRNA from 1 species